rnacentral:rRNA from 1 species
UACAGAGGGUGCAAGCGUUAAUCGGAAUCACUGGGCGUAAAGAGCGCGUAGGUUGAUAAUUAAGUUGGAUGUGAAAGCCCCGGGCUCAACCUGGGACGGUCAUUCAAGACUGGUUAUCUAGAGUAUGGUAGAGGGAAGUGGAAUUUCCGGUGUAGCGGUGAAAUGCGUAGAUAUCGGAAGGAACACCAGUGGCGAAGGCGGCUUCCUGGACCAAUACUGACACUGAGGCGCGAAAGCGUGGGGAGCAAACAGG